rnacentral:tmRNA from 1 species
GGGGCUGAUUCUGGAUUCGACGGGAUUUGCGAAACCCAAGGUGCAUGCCGAGGGGCGGUUGGCCUCGUAAAAAGCCGCAAAAAAAAUAGUCGCAAACGACGAAACCUACGCUUUAGCAGCUUAAUAACCUGCUUAGAGCCCUCUCUCCCUAGCCUCCGCUCUUAGGACGGGGAUCAAGAGAGGUCAAACCCAAAAGAGAUCGCGUGGAUGCCUUGCCUGGGGUUGAAGCGUUAAAACGAAUCAGGCUAGUCUGGUAGUGGCGUGUCCGUCCGCAGGUGCCAGGCGAAUGUAAAGACAGACUAAGCAUGUAGUACCGAGGAUGUAGGAAUUUCGGACGCGGGUUCAACUCCCGCCAGCUCCACCA